rnacentral:lncRNA from 1 species
AGCACCUCGAUUUUACUGAAGCAGGCUUUGAACUCGCAAUCCUCCUGCCUUAGCUUCCCAAGCCACUGGGAUUACAGGCAUGUACCACCAUGCCCAGCUCUCUUGUGGCUUUGAGUUGCAUUUUUCUUAUGAUUACUUUGGUAGCAUGGAUUUCUUCUGAAUUUAUCCUGUUUGGAAUUUGAUAAACUUCUUGGGUAUGUAGAUUCAAAAAAUUUUUUAACAAAUUUGAAGUGUUUGGGACCAUUAUUUCUUCAAAUAUUCUUUCUGUCCCUUUGUCUCUCUUUUCUCCUUGAACUCCAAUUUUGCAAAUGUUGAUAUGUUUGUUGGCACACCACAGGUCUCCUGUUGGAUAAUUUCUAAUAACCUAGUCUGAGCUCCACUGAUUCUUUCUACUGCUUCUACAGUUUGCUCACAUCUGCUAUUAGAAUCCUUUAGUGAUUUUUUUCACUCAUUAUUAUACUUUCCAGAUCUUAAUUUGUCCAUCUCCUUUUUAUAAUUUCUUUAUUGAUAGUCUGUAUUUGUGGAGACAUUGCUUUCCUGGAUUCUUUUAGCUCUUUGAAUAUAUUUGAAAUAGUUGCUUAAAAUUUUUUGUCUAGCACUGAUAGGAGUAAGAAAUUAUGAUGUCCUAUUGCACAGUAGGGUUGACAAUAGAUAACAACAUUAUACUGUACAUUUCAAUAAAUCUAGAAGAAAGGAUUUGGAAUAUUUUCACCAUAAGGAAAUGAUAAUUGGCUGAUGUAGUGGUACACACUUGUAAUACAAGUGAGUUGGGAGGCUGAGGCAAGAGUAUUCCAAGUUUGAGGCCAGCCUCAGCAACUCAGCAAGACCCUAAGCAACUUAAGUGAGGCCUUGUCUCAAAAAAUAAAAAAGGCUAGUAGUAAAGUGCCCCAUAGUUCAAUC